rnacentral:rRNA from 2 species
GUAUUGAAGGUGAUGCCUGCCCGGUGACGUGGUGUUAAACGGCUGCGGUAUCCUAACCGUGCGAAGGUAGCGCAAUCAAUUGUCCCGUAAAUCGGGACUAGUAUGAAUGGCUAAACGAGGUUCUAACUGUCUCUUACAGGCGAUCGGUGAAAUUGAUCUCCCUGUGCAAAAGCAGGGAUAAACCCAUAAGACGAGAAGACCCUGUGGAACUUUAAAAUCAGCAGCCACCCCUAAUUACAUACUCCCCCAACUCGGGCUCACUUACUACACGGGCUAUUGGCUUGCAAUUUUUCGGUUGGGGCGACCUUGGAGCAAAACAAAACCUCCAAAAAUUGGACCAUACAUCCAGACUAAGAGCAACCUCUCAACGUGCGAAUAGCAACCAGAUCCAAUAAAAUUGAUCAAUGGACCAAGCUACCCCAGGGAUAACAGCGCAAUCUCCUCCGAGAGUCCAUAUCGACGGGGAGGUUUACGACCUCGAUGUUGGAUCAGGACAUCCUAGUGGUGCAGCAGCUACUAAGGGUUCGU